rnacentral:rRNA from 1 species
CGUGAGGGAAAGGUGAAAAGAACCCCGGGAGGGGAGUGAAAUAGAACCUGAAACCGUGUGCCUACAACCGGUCAAAGCCCCAUAUGAGGGUGAUGACGUGCUUUUUGUAGAACGAGCCAACGAGUUACGGUAUGUAGCAAGGUUAAGUACUUAAGGUACGGAGCCGAAGGGAAACCGAGUCUUAAUAGGGCGACUAGUUGCAUGCCGUAGACCCGAAACCGGGUGACCUAUCCAUGGCCAGGUUGAAGCGAGGGUAAAACUUCGUGGAGGACCGAACCACGUUGCUGUUGAAAAAGCAUGGGAUGAGCUGUGGAUAGCGGAGAAAUUCCAAUCGAACUCGGAGAUAGCUGGUUCUCCCCGAAAUAGCUUUAGGGCUAGCGUCGGAUAUGUGUAGUGGAGGUAGAGCACUGAAUGGGCUAGGGGGCAUAGCGCUUACCGAACCUUAUCAAACUCCGAAUGCCACAUACAUUAAGUCCGGCAGUCAGACUACGAAUGAUAAGAUCCGUGGUCAAAAGGGAAACAGCCCAGAUCGUCAGCUAAGGUCCCAAAGUGUAAGUUAAGUGGAAAAGGAUGUGGGAUUUCUAAGACAACUAGGAUGUUGGCUUAGAAGCAGCCACUCAUUUAAAGAGUGCGUAAUAGCUCACUAGUCGAGAGAUCCUGCGCCGAAAAUGUCCGGGGCUCAAACUUACCACCGAAGCUACGGGCUUGCGUAAGCAAGCGGUAGGGGAGCGUCGUAAUCGGGCUGAAGUCGUACCGUAAGGAGCGGUGGACUGAUUACGAGUGAGAAUGUUGGCAUUAGUAGCGAGAUGUAGGUGAGAAUCCUACAGGCCGAAUAUCUAAGGUUUCCUCAGGAAGGCUCGUCCGCUGAGGGUUAGUCGGGACCUAAGCCGAGGCCGAAAGGCGUAGGCGAUGGACAAUCGGUUGAUAUUCCGAUACCACUACCAUCGUUAUUAUCGAGGGUGUGACGGAGAAGGAUAGUGUGUGCUAGCGAUUGGAAAUGCUAGUCUAAGCGUUUAGGGAGUUACGGUAGGCAAAUCCGCUGUAACAAUUCUGAGGCGUGAUGGGGAAGGCCAUAUAGGCCGAAGUACAUGAUUCCAUGCUUCCAAGAAAAGCAUCUAGAGAGAGAAGUAGUGCCCGUACCGCAAACCGACACAGGUAGAUGAGGAGAGAAUCCUAAGGCCGGCGGAAGAAUUGCAGUUAAGGAACUAGGCAAAUUGACCCCGUAAGUUCGCGAGAAGGGGUGCCUGCGAGAGCAGGCCGCAGAGAAUAGGCCCAAGCAACUGUUUAGCAAAAACACAGGUCUCUGCUAAAGCGCAAGCUGAUGUAUAGGGGCUGACGCCUGCCCGGUGCUGGAAGGUUAAGGGGAACACUUAGCGCAAGCGAAGGUGUGAACUUAAGCCCCAGUAAACGGCGGCCGUAACUAUAACGGUCCUAAGGUAGCGAAAUUCCUUGUCAGGUAAGUUCUGACCCGCACGAAUGGCGUAAUGACUUGGGCACUGUCUCAACUGCAAAUCCGGCGAAGUUGUAGUGCGAGUGAAGAUGCUCGCUACCCGCGAUUGGACGGAAAGACCCCGUAGAGCUUUACUGCAGCUUAGCAUUGAAUUCCGGUAUUGUCUGUACAGGAUAGGUGGGAGACUGGGAAACUAGGGCGUCAGCCUUAGUGGAGUCAACCUUGGGAUACCACCCUGACAGUACUGGGGUUCUAACAGGACGCCAUGAAUCUGGUGACUGGACAUUGUUAGGUGGGCAGUUUGACUGGGGCGGUCGCCUCCUAAAAAGUAACGGAGGCGCCCAAAGGUUCCCUCAGAACGGUCGGAAAUCGUUCGUAGAGUGCAAAGGCAGAAGGGAGCCUGACUGCGAGACCUACAAGUCGAGCAGGGACGAAAGUCGGGCUUAGUGAUCCGGUGGUACCUCGUGGGAGGGCCAUCGCUCAACGGAUAAAAGCUACCUCGGGGAUAACAGGCUGAUCUCCCCCAAGAGUCCACAU